GUUUUCCAGACAUCCUACACACGAUCCACGCGUCAAACAAAUGUCUAACGCGCGUCUGCACGCCCCAUUAGCAUUCAGUUGUAUGUACGCGCACGACGGGGCACAGGGGGGGAGCGGUGCAUGCUGCCGGCGUCGCGUGGAGGGAGAGAGAGACGAAGCGACGCCAGCUGAUCGACGCCGCGGCGCGGUGCGGCGCGGCGCAUCGCGACGUCGCGGUAUCUACGAUAGCGGCGGCGGCUAACGCCGCGUUGCAAUUCUCUCUCUCUCUCUCCCUCUCUCUCUCUUUCUUUCUCUCUCGCGGGCGAUCCUCAAUGUCACGUACGCCGAUAACGCGCCGCGGAAAAUAUCGUCGCGGAACGAGUGGCUCGGCUCGUCGGAAAGUCGCGCGCGGCCUCUCGGCGGUGACGGCGACGGUGAACAAUUGAACGCGUAACGAUCGUUAAAUGUCGGAAGGUACGUACGUACGUGUGCGUAAACGUCGCGCGGGAGCCGCGGGAGGCAGACGGAGAAUGAAGUAGAAAAAGAUGGGAGCGAGACGCGGACGGAGCGAGAGAGAGAGGCCAUGCUGAGACAAAUGAUUACGAUACGGGACCCGCGUCGAGUGUCUGCGAAAUGGAUCCACUCGCAUGCAGUGAUUGUAUGCACAUGCGGCUGCUUAUCGCUCACGGUACAACUACACCGCCGCGACCGAAAGAGAGACGGAGGCAGUGAGUGAGGGAACAACAGAAGGAGAGAAGGAGGAGCGGGGGAGAGGAAGAGAAAGAGAGAUAGAGAGAGAGGGAAAAGGAUGCGUAUAUGUACGGAACACGUGCGCACACAUAUACAUGCACACGUUCGCUGCACCGUGGUGCACCGUCGAGAGGGAGUACAAACGGCUGAAAGCGAAACGUAAACAAACAGCGAAAAUGAUGAGAAUGAAAAGAUUGACGGGAAGUGGCAAGAAUACCAACCGUUUCUUACCACCGUUGCCGAGGUGAUCGCGCAAGAAGAAGCAUCGAUUAUACCUAGAACAAAGUCUCAUCGAACUACAAAGGAAACUGGUCCUGUCUCUGUGGUCGGUUAUCUGCGUGGCCGCCGCGCUAAGGAGCCGAGGUCGUGGAGCGAAAGAUGCGUAUCUGGAUACUCGCGAGAGGGCAAAUGAGUAGGCGAAUAGUUAUGAGUCAUCGCGUAAAACGAAUGUCCCGAUCGACGCAAACGCUGGCGAAAGUCGUUGAAAAAUAUCGCCCUGUGGACGAACCACUUCGAAUAUAAAUCCAAGCUGGCCGUAAGAGAUGGUGGAAAAACAAAACACUCUCGAGUUAACGUCCGAAAUCAAUGCGUGUUAAUAAAACAUGCAUUUUUAUCUUUACCUCGGCCCGUUCGCAAAACUCGGUUUUUAUGUUUUCGCAAUUUUUCCGGAUUAUCGAUGCGCGUGGAACGUACGCCGAUUGAAAUACGGAUAAUUAAAAUUGCCGGAGCGUAAUUGACGUUAAUGUGUAAUAAAUACAAAACUCGCGGGUGUACAUUAGCGCGUUUGUACUUGAGAAAUAUAAGUCCUUGACAAACUAAAGGGAAACGGUCGAAUCGCAAAAAUCGUUUUCUCGCUGUGCGCCACUGAACCGGCACUGAUGGCUGUACGUGAUCAACUAGUGCAAAGCCGAUAAUGUGUACAAUUGUCUAACACGUUGUCGUAUCACACGAAAUAUCUCAUUGAUGCUGACGGCUGAUAUUUAUAUCAAUAAAUCAAAUUUCAGUGCGUU